GCGGACAGAUGGGAGCUUGCUCCCUGAUGUUAGCGGCGGACGGGUGAGUAACACGUGGGUAACCUGCCUGUAAGACUGGGAUAACUCCGGGAAACCGGGGCUAAUACCGGAUGCUUGUUUGAACCGCAUGGUUCAAACAUAAAAGGUGGCUUCGGCUACCACUUACAGAUGGACCCGCGGCGCAUUAGCUAGUUGGUGAGGUAACGGCUCACCAAGGCAACGAUGCGUAGCCGACCUGAGAGGGUGAUCGGCCACACUGGGACUGAGACACGGCCCAGACUCCUACGGGAGGCAGCAGUAGGGAAUCUUCCGCAAUGGACGAAAGUCUGACGGAGCAACGCCGCGUGAGUGAUGAAGGUUUUCGGAUCGUAAAGCUCUGUUGUUAGGGAAGAACAAGUACCGUUCGAAUAGGGCGGUACCUUGACGGUACCUAACCAGAAAGCCACGGCUAACUACGUGCCAGCAGCCGCGGUAAUACGUAGGUGGCAAGCGUUGUCCGGAAUUAUUGGGCGUAAAGGGCUCGCAGGCGGUUUCUUAAGUCUGAUGUGAAAGCCCCCGGCUCAACCGGGGAGGGUCAUUGGAAACUGGGG
rnacentral:rRNA from 2 species